CACAGGCAAGGGCUCUAACUUAACAUGUUGGAAUAGCUUACUUCACUGCAACCUGUUAUUUCAUAUAAGGGUGCACUACCUUCUAUUCAUCAUGCAGCUUUCCCAUUCAUAUUGUAUGCCACUACUUCUGUCCUUUUUAAUUGUCUCAACCAUUGGAGCCCCUCUACAAAAUAGAGAACAGACAAAGGACGGCGUUGAAUUGAAGUUGCUGUUUGACCCAGAGCCAUUUCAUGAACAUAUCACCCUCAAUGAUGAUUAUGGAGUGAGGCCUGUGCCCCCACAUGUGCCCCUCUACCUGCAGAGGAAGAGGAAGAAUAGACCAUCAGGAUCUGAAUUCUGAAGACAUACUGUACUUUCAUAGAUAUCACCUCUUCAGAUGCAGAAAAUGAUAAAUAAACUCAGAUCAUUCAUUUAA